AGAGUUUGAUCAUGGCUCAGGAUGAACGCUAGCUACAGGCUUAACACAUGCAAGUCGAGGGGAAACGACAUCGAAAGCUUGCUUUUGAUGGGCGUCGACCGGCGCACGGGUGAGUAACGCAUAUCCAACCUGCCCAUCACUUGGGGAUAACCUUGCGAAAGUAAGACUAAUACCCAAUGACGUCUCUAGAAGACAUCUGAAAGAGAUUAAAGAUUUAUCGGUGAUGGAUGGGGAUGCGUCUGAUUAGCUUGUUGGCGGGGUAACGGCCACCAAGGCGACGAUCGAGUAGGGGUUCUGAGAGGAAGGUCCCCCCAUUGGAACUGAGACACGGUCCAAACUCCUACGGGAGGCA
rnacentral:rRNA from 1 species